AUCAGUCUCUGCCCGGCCCUAAUGGCCGCAGGUUCCAAUGUGUGUGCCAAUUUUCAAGAGUUUUCGAGUAUGUUAAGGGCCCCAAAAGCCCCCGAGACGUUGGAAAAAAAUAAUAAUAAUAAUAAUAAUAAUAAUAAUAAUAAUAAUAAUAAUAAUAAUAAAAAAUAAUCCUAAGGAAAACAAUAGGGCUCUCGCCCUCCAGGCUUGAGCCCUAAAUAUAGCUGCAAGCAGCGAUGGCGGGCUCAAGCCAUCAGCGCAAACGCCACCCCGGUGGCAUCAGGUAAACUGUGCCCAGCGGGCACAUGCAUUUACAGUAACCCUCUGGCAGUCAGGUUUUAAGGGAUACGGCAAUUAACGGGUUAAUCCGAAGCAUCAAGACUUUGAAAUCCCAUACACAGAACAAUAUUCAUUAAGAAAGUGAAAUUAAAUGAUUAAUAAACUAUUUAUUCGAACCCUUGCUAUUUUCUAUUCUUAUAAAAGUCUGGGCUGUGGAACACCUGUAAUAGAGUUGGCUAGCUGGAUGCAAAUAAAGUCAUGCCUUUUAUUUGUUCCCCUGUUUGCUAUUUCACAUUCCUGUCACUGAAGCGUUGUGGCCAAAGACACAGAAGGUAACUGAAACUAUGUGGUUUAAGUCAAGGUGAUUAUUAGGGGUGCAAGCACAAUGGUUUGUGUAGAUGAUGCAGUUACACAAUGAACGUGUCUCUUUUCAAGUAAAUUAUGAGUCCUUAUGUGAGUACUAUUAUAUGCACAACAUGAAAAUAGAUAACUAAUAUAGUGUCCCUUCUACACUUUUUCAGUAAUGUGUGAUAACUUGAGAAAUAUGUUGUCAAUACAAUUAAACUAACAAAAAGUAAUGGUAUUUAGGAGCUGAUAGCUUUUGCAUAAUUACUAUAUUGGGCUUUAUUAAAGUUUAUGAAAAAAGAAUGAAUGUUUAUGCAUUUUUUAUUCAUGCACAUAAAUGAAACAUUUUCAAGUCUUUGAACAGAUCUUGAAGUAUUUGCUAUCCUGUGGCGCCAUCGAGUGGACAACAUUAGCAUUGUGGCCUUCAUUUUUGAACAACAUUAUGAAAGGGGCCAAUAUUUUUUGAAUGAUUAUAAAUAUUUAAUGAUUAG
ensembl:lncRNA